UAGGGAAUCUUCCACAAUGGACGAAAGUCUGAUGGAGCAACGCCGCGUGAGUGAUGAAGGGUUUCGGCUCGUAAAACACUGUUGUAAGAGAAGAAUGACAUUGAGAGUAACUGUUCAAUGUGUGACGGUAUCUUACCAGAAAGGAACGGCUAAAUACGUGCGAG
rnacentral:rRNA from 1 species